UACGUAGGGGGCGAGCGUUGUCCGGAUUUAUUGGGCGUAAAGAGCUCGUAGGCGGUUUGGUAAGUCGGAUGUGAAAUCUCCAGGCUCAACCUGGAGGGGUCAUUCGAGACUGCUAUGACUAGAGUUCGGUAGAGGAGUGUGGAAUUCCUGGUGGAGCGGUGAAAUGCGCAGAUAUCAAGUGGAACACCAGUGGCGAAGGCGAGUCCCUGGACAACUUCUGACGCUGAGGCACGAAAGCUAGGGGAGCAAACAGG
rnacentral:rRNA from 1 species